GAAGUGCCUGAUGGACGCGGCUCUUGUCAUGAAAUGAGUUUGGAUCCGAGAAGCCCUCUUCUUCAUCGGAAAAUGGGACAAGGAUGAGCUGUGUACCCAGAAUUCCAUGUUUACACUGACUCCUCCAGUGCCUCAUCAAUGAAGUAAGCAGGCAGCUACGUUCUGGAGGGCUAGCGUGUCCUCACGGCACACAACUUCCAAAGUUGACAGAGUCAAGUCCUGGCGUGCCCAAGGCUAUCCAGGGGAAUACGCGGGACAGACAGAACCCUCAGACCGUCCCCAUGACCCUCUGCUCCAGUCUGAGGGACAGGACACCAUGAGACCUCUCAGACACAGAGCCCACCCUCGACAUGACCCGGAUGAAAGGCAGGAGUGUGGUCCCUGCAGAGGACCCAUCUGUGUGAGCCCACAGCCCUACCUGCAGCAUCCACAGCCUCAGAGAGCAGCAGGGGCUGCUUACCCUGAACCCCCGCCAAGAGCAUUAGGACAACAAACCUUGAGCCUUGGAGACAAGAGAAUCAGUAUGCCUGGCCCAGGAAGGAUUCGAGGAGAGGACACGCGCAAGAGCCCUGGCCCAGAGCCAGAACCAAGAGUCCAGCCAG